GUCUACGGCCAUACCACCCUGAACGCGCCCGAUCUCUUCUGAUCUCGGAAGCUAAGCAGGGUCGGGCCUGGUUAGUACUUGGAUGGGAGACCACCUGGGAAUACCGGGUGCUGUAGGCU
rnacentral:rRNA from 1 species